rnacentral:rRNA from 1 species
GACGUAGGGUCCAAGCGUUGUCCGGAUUUACUGGGCGUAAAGAGCGCGUAGGCGGUCUGUUAAGUGUGAAGUGAAAUCUCCAGGGCUCAACCCGGAAAUUGCUUCGCAUACUGGCAGACUUGAGGGAUGCAGAGGUAAGUGGAAUUCCUGGUGUAGCGGUGACAUGCAUUGAUAUCAGGAGGAACACCCAUGGCGAAGGCAGCUUACUGGGCAUCAUCUGACGCUGAGGCGCGAAAGCGUGGGUAGCAAACAGG